rnacentral:rRNA from 1 species
UGGGGAAUAUUGCACAAUGGGCGGAAGCCUGAUGCAGCGACGCCGCGUGGGGGAUGAAGGCCUUCGGGUUGUAAACUCCUUUCGACAGGGACGAAGCUUUUGUGACGGUACCUGUAUAAGAAGCACCGGCUAACUACGUGCCAGCAGCCGCGGUAAUACGUAGGGUGCGAGCGUUGUCCGGAAUUACUGGGCGUAAAGAGCUCGUAGGUGGUUUGUCGCGUCGUCUGUGAAAUUCCGGGGCUUAACUCCGGGCGUGCAGGCGAUACGGGCUGACUUGAGUGCUGUAGGGGAGACUGGAAUUCCUGGUGUAGCGGUGAAAUGCGCAGAUAUCAGGAGGAGCACCGAUGGCGAAGGCAGGUCUCUGGGCAGUAACUGACGCUGAGGAGCGAAAGCAUGGGUAGCGAACAGG